GUGUGUGUUCGUGAAGCUUCAGGAGCUCUCAAGAACUCCAAACCCUAAACAUGAAAGAUCAUCCAAAUUGAAAGGCUAAAUGAUGCUUAAAUCUAUAACCGAGCAUGGAUUAAUGAUCACCAACAUGAGGAGAUCAUAAGAUACGUAUGAAGAUAGCAUGUCUACGGGCUCAAGCACGGAGGCUAAUGGGUCAAAAGAAAGCAUGGAACCUAUGCUUGAACUUGGACGCUCAAGGUAAGUGAUUUCCGUAAUCACUUCUUAGUUCAAGUAAGUAAUAAAGUGUUGAAAUUAAUUAAACAUGAUGUUUGAGGUUAAAUAUGUAGGAAAGUCUUUCGUCGUAAAUGAUGGGAUUAAAGUUGACCAAAAUGCCCUUGAUGGGUAUUUUGGGCAAACGAUCUUAAUAAGUAGUUUAGAAGCAAGUUAUUGAUUAGUGUAAUGUCUUGGACAAGUAUGGAAGCGAAGAGUAUGGUCUUGGUAUGUCAUAAACCAUUUAACGCGCAAAUACCCUUAACGGGUCAAAACUAAGUAUAUGAACGAUAAUGUGUUAAGAGGAUGCAAAAUGUCUAAGAACUUAUUAUUUUAUGAUAGAUGUCACUGAUAUUAUUAGGUUUAUAAGAGUUUAUGGUAAAACAAACAAGUUACGUUGAUGAAUGCAUGAACGGGUCGAAUUGUGGGUAAGAGGGUAAUAAGCCGAUAGCGUGUAAGUUAAGAUUUUCCUUAAGGCGGUUAUGGGAUUUUAAGUUCAUUUGAUAGGAUGUGAAUUUACAAGCAUGUAGGAAGAAACGGGAGGUUAAACGGGUAAACGGUUCGAAAGUUACGUGCGUUUUAGUGCGUACGGACGACGAAACGAACCUGCAGAA
rnacentral:lncRNA from 1 species